UACGUAGGGGGCAAGCGUUGUCCGGAAUCAUUGGGCGUAAAGCGCGUGUAGGCGGCCAGAUAAGUCCGCUGUGAAAUCUCGAGGCUCAACUUCGAGCUGUCGGUGGAAACUGUCUGGCUAGAGUCCGGAAGAGGAGAAUGGAAUUCCUGGUGUAGCGGUGAAAUGCGCAGAUAUCAGGAGGAACACCGAUGGCGAAGGCAGCCCCCUGGGCUAACACUGACGCUCAGGCACGAAAGCGUGGGGAGCAAACAGGG
rnacentral:rRNA from 1 species